rnacentral:rRNA from 1 species
CGGGGGGCAGCAGUGAGGAAUAUUGGUCAAUGGACGCAAGUCUGAACCAGCCAUGCCGCGUGCAGGAUGAAGGCCUUCUGGGUUGUAAACUGCUUUUAUCAGGGAAGAAACCACAGAUUUCUAUUUGUGCCGACGGUACCUGAGGAAUAAGCACCGGCUAACUCCGUGCCAGCAGCCGCGGUAAUACGGAGGGUGCAAGCGUUAUCCGGAUUCACUGGGUUUAAAGGGUGUGUAGGCGGGCAUGUAAGUCCGAGGUGAAAUCUCCGAGCUCAACUUGGAAACUGCCUUGGAUACUAUAUGUCUUGAAUAUCGUUGAGGUAGGCGGAAUAUGUCAUGUAGCGGUGAAAUGCUUAGAUAUGACAUAGAACACCGAUUGCGAAGGCAGCUUGCUAAACGAUUAUUGACGCUGAGGCACGAAAGCGUGGGGAUCAAACAGGAUUAGAUACCCUCGU